UCCCGCCCGGUUCACUUCGCCCUCGCAAAUGACGGUGAAAUUAAGCGCUAGAAUUGCGGGGAUAGGACGGAGGAUCUCCAUCGGCUUGGAGCCUUCGAGGUUGUCGACCCCGCCGCCCUGCGCCCACAGCCUCGUCGGGUUCCUGCCGCAGCGGGUGCGGGAGGGCGCGCUGCCGCAGCAGCCACCGGACGCGGAAGGAGGAACAGAUGCCCAGCCGCGUGCCGCCAGCUUCCCCAGUCCGGCCUUCCCGGCAGCGCCUCCCUCCACGGCAUCUUCCCCGUCGCGCGCCGUCCGGCCUGUCCCCGCGCAGCCGAGCAAGAUCUGGCGGGUUCGUGAGAUCCCCUCCCUCGCACCAUCCCUUGAAAUCAUGGGGAAGCACCAGUCUCGCUGCAACAUCGUCUUCCUCCUCCAGCAACACCGUCUUCUCCCCGUUCUCCCUCCACGUUGCGCUCAGCCUCCUCGCCACCGGCGCGGGCGGCGCCACGCGCGACCAGAUGCUCGCCGCACUCGGCGGAGGGGACGAGCAGGGGCACGAGCACUCGCGCUCCUUUAGCCAGCCGGUGGGGCCGCUGUCGCCGCAGUACGGAGUCUACUACGGCCAGGACCCGAGCGCGGGCUAGCAGGGAGGAGGGUACGCUGAACCAUAACCAGCCCCGGCAUACCAGGCCCCGCCGGCCGUGAAGCCGCGGUAGCUGGAUCGCCGGUACUCGCGGAUUGCCGACGGUUACCACUCGAUGGAUCAGGUUACUGAUGCCCUAGCUUAAGCUGGUCUUGAAUCAUCAAAUCUUAUUGUCGGUAUUGAUUUCACAAAGAGCAACGAGAGACCUUGCAAUGUUUUCUUUUUUUUAAAAAAGACAUUGCAAUGGUUUCUCAGAAGCUGCAUUGAUAUAGGGAAGCUGCAUCGAUAUAGAAGGCAAGGGCGACACAGGCUGCGGCAUCUUUGUUCCCUCCCAUUCCUGUGUGCUCCCUGGUGCCGGCCGCCAUCCAAAUUCCUGCAAGGUAUAUGGCUAUGCCAUUGUGUGCUUGAAUUGCUCAGUACUUUUAUACAUUGACUUGCCGAUGAUAUAUAUACGUCAGUGCUUAAGCUGUUCCGAUCUUGAAUGACAAACACAAGAGAGCACCCAUCUGGCUGUAGGUCUAGCAUUGUUUAGAAGAAUGUUACAAACAUUGGAUGUCAAGGAGCUUGGGAUUUAUUUUGCUGGUAGUCCGCAAAUAGAAAAUAUAUAAUGUGGAAGUUUUAUUUCAAAAUCUUUGGAGGCUUUCAACCGUCAUCUCAACUACUUACACAAAGAAGUUCGAGAUAAGCAUUGGCAAGUUUCUAGAAAUGUUCAAUGCUCCUGUCAUUUCGUACAGUCAAAAGAAAGAUACAGAUUUUUACCUUUCCCUACAAUUUGCACUUUUUUGCGGCUUAGUGCACAAAUUUGAAGAAAAAAAGAGACAUGUUCAUUAAUGUGGAUUUAUUAUGUAUAAUCCAUCCAUGUGACUACACUGUAUUCAUUUUUCAUGAUUUUGAAUCAGCUUCAAGAUUCUAGCAAUGCUUAGUGCAAUCCUUUAUACCUUGUCAUUCUUCAUUAUUAGGAUUCAGUGCUGCUAUUUAUUUACUUAAACCCUCGAUUUUCAUAAAGUGCUUUAAAACAUUGAUGCAUGGUAUUUUUUUACAUUUUCAGCCAUUGUGUCACUAGAGAUCAAGCUGGUGAGGAUAUAUUUUCCAUGUUCCUGGCCUGGUUUAUGAUUAUGUACCUAAAUUUAAGAAGUGUUCCAUAUUUAAGUGAACCAGAUUUAAAAUGCCAUUUAACUCAAUAAGAAGUGCUCCAGAUUUAAGUGUUGCAUAUUAUGCUUUUUGCUUUCUACUCCAAUGUAGAUCUAUUUGGACUUUUCCUUUCUACCUUGCUGGGUACCUCGAAAUAUAAUUGUGCAUACCGUUUAACCUUUGAUGUAAUGUCAAUCAAUGGUAACCUAACCAUCCAAAUUGAUUAAUGAAGUGAAUAAAACUGAGCUAAAGUUGUCAUGCACUUAGAUUGAUAUUGGAGUUGGGAUACGAUUUUUAUAGCUGAAACAUGAGUUGUCACAGUGAUAAUUCGAUUACAUGGUGGAUGGUUCGUUUUGCUCUGUGUUACAGUACUAUUUAGCAGAAUUUAGAAUAGCUCUGGGUCCAAUAUUUCCAUUGCCAGUGUCGCCAGAUCUUGUCCUGCUCAUGGCUUCGAUCGGCCGUACUCUACUCUUGGUUUCCAAACAGCGAGGAGCGGAUCUUGUACCGUUCACGGCUAGCAAUGUUCCUGUAGUGGUUCUGAUUCUGCACAGGUAGCUUUUUUCAAUGUACACUGUUGUUCUGAACUGAUUACACACUCAUCAAAUCAUUUGUGAAUUUGGACAGCCAUAUCAACACGAUUAACAAGAUCUUUGCUAGAUCUUAUGAUGGACAGAUAAUAUGCGGCAAAAUUAUCUGUAAUCAGUAGACAUUGCAUAGCAGUUUCUGUCAUUUUACAAACAAAACUGGUUUUGCUUACUGCCUUUUAUAGCAAAUCUAUACUAUAAGGAUCCUAAACUAAUAAAAACACCAUGCACCUGAAAAUUUUCCCCUUACCCCUCACAGUGUCCCACCUGUCGGGUGUCGGGUAGGUGGACAUUGAAAUCAGGGUGCGUGCAGCGUAUUCAACACUGGUGGACUCAAACUAUUGUAGUAUUGUCCAAUCUGGACUUUCAUCUUCUUUUUAAUAUAAUUGGCAGCUCUUCUGCCAUGGCCGGCCAGCUAUACGCCUGGUGAUGGGCCUACACACUCACGCAUAUGUGCCUUGCUAACAACAUACACCAUGGUACUUGGGCAGAAUGAGAAUACCAGCUAUGAGAGGCUAAAUGCUAUGCGACAUAGGACAAGAGGAUUACUCAUGGGCAGGUACAGGUUCCUUCAGCUCGUGUAGGGACCAAAAGUGAAUUUGGUGAAUUUGCUAUGAAUGUGAAAGCUUAGCCUUAGCAUAAGAAAGCUUUGCGAUUCAGUAGGUGAUUUGUCUAGGUGAGGAAAGUGUGGUGUGAUUGGCCUCUAAAUUCUUGGCAUGCUUGAUCAAAUCUGAUCAUUAUCAUAGAACAAACAGGUUCAUUUUAUUAUCUUCCCAGCUAGCUUUUUUCAAUAACAAUUCUGCAUUUAAUAAAAAUAUGUAAAUCUUUUUUAGAUAAAAAUACCUAUAAAUACUUAUAAUGUCUUCAAUGAACAUUUAGGAAAUUCUUGAUCUUGGUGAUAUGCCUUCGGUACCUUGAAGCACGAAAAUGUUUAUGUAAGUGCCUUAUUUGGUGUACAUUCUAUGCUCCUUAUUUGACCUUAUUUAAUUCAUGUACUGUGGAUUUUGAGUUGAGCUAUGUAUUGAUCAAAAGUUUGUUAUACUGGUUUUUCUAUGCAAAUGCCUUUUGAAUUAUUUUAUUAUUAAUAUAGAAGAGUCGAGUGACUUUGUCUACUAUUUUUUUCUCUACCAAAAUAUAGCUAUGGUCUUGGAAAAGUUUGGUAGUAACAUCACUUUGCCUUUUAUCUGAUUUGAGCCAUCCUGUUGCCUCAAGAACUUAUAUAAGUGUGAUUGCUAUUGAGUUCCAGUAGCUACAAAUGCUGCAGGACAUUGGAGCAGUGAGCUUUAUCUCCAAAGUAGAAACCAGAGCUUGGCCUGGCUUUCACAUGUAUUGGGAUAAAAGGGAUGCCGUACGUACCUACCUGUUCCUACAGAGACCCUAACUAACCAUUUUUCCUUUAAUUUCUUGAGAGAUUAACUAAAUUCCUUUUCUCGUGUAGAUACUUUAGAAGUGUAAAUAUUUUUCUUUAUGACCAUCAGACCCUAACAUUACCUGACUAUGUACCUUCGUGGGGUUUAGUCGAGGGUAUUGUGUCAUAAGAAAAUUACACAAGUGUUUGGGUCUACAGAUGCAUUCAAGGUGACUCCAGGUGAAAUAAGUCUACGUGUGCACACUUGGGUAUGCACUGUGUUCUAUCGGUCACAGUGGCAUAAAGCAUGGUGGUUUUUUGUUUUUUUUAGUGAAAGAUGUGUUGUAAUUGUUCCCGAGGAGCUGAACAAUUCUUCCAUCUAAUUUUCAACAGAAAUAUGUGAGUUCCAGGUGAAAGAUGUGAGUUUUAGCUUUUAGCAACUUACUUGGAGCAUAUAAAUUGCAAUCGUGGAUGAUGAUGUGAUUCUUUUGGAGCAACUUUAUCGAACUUGAAGCAGCACUUAUUAAUAUAGUACUCUUGCCGGUAAGUAUUAGCAACUUGCUGCACUGCUAUCUAAUUUCUUUGUAGUAAUAUUUUUGAAAUUAUGUUCUAAAUUCUUCCUUCGGUCAUGAACUUCCUUCAAUCCUGCACAAAGUUGAGUGCCAUAAUUAUAGCAAUAUAAUUUUUUACUGUUCAGCCCAUUCUGUUGAUUUGCUAACACAUCAGAUCAAGCCAUCUCCAGUUCCAACUCCGAUGGAUAAACAACACAUCAAGUUGACUCCAGUUCCAACUCCAAUGUAUAAACAGAAGAUCAGGGCGAUUCCAGCUCCAACUCCAACAGAUAAACAACAGAUAAUAAGCACUCCAGAUCCUCCUCUGAGGCAUACACAAUGUUCAAGGAGAGGAGAGUGCAUAAUGUCUGAUUUUGGAUUUAGGAUACUUUUUAAAAAACUUGGUGACAAGUUAGGGGGCAAAAUGAACCUCUCUCUCUCUCUCUUUUUUAACACGUGCAUCUCUGCUAGUAUCUUUUUAUAUACGGUGGAAUCUACCAUCUAAUUUCAAAA